CCGCGGCCGACCCAGGGGAACGCGCCGUUCUCGCAAACCGACUGCUGUGCGGUGGGUCCUGGUGCCGCGAACCAGCGAUCAAAGCAGAGUCCCUCUUAAUUGUGUGUCCGGAGCGCUUCCUGUGCAUGAGCUCAUCAGAUUUUUCCCAGGAACCCUAUCAACUCUUAUCUCCCUGAGUCAGAGAUGGGGAAACUGAGAUUCAGGGAGAUAAACGGACACACUUGGAAUCCCGUGUCCUAGAUGUCAAUUCGGAUCCGCUUGACUUCUGCUUGACUGUGCUCUAAACCAAUCAAAAGCAACUUCAGCAUCGGGACUAUAUUUGAUACACAUGUGGGUGCCCAGUGACUCUGCCCAGGCCCUGCACGUAGCCGACCCUCAAUAACUGUCUUAUUUGCAAUUGUCUAAUGAGCUGUUCAGUUCAAGCAGAAAUAAAUAAAACAUUAAAAAACAAAACAAAACAAAAAAACAAAUCUUCCUAAGACAAGAAGACUCUUUGAGACGUCAAGACCUUCUACACACCUCCAUUGAGGAGAUGCCCCUCAAUGUCCCUGACCUCAUCUGAGGGGCUGUCUUGCUACCUAAGCCUACCCAGGGUUCAGUCCAUGUGGGGCUGAAGAGGAGCAGGAAGGGGGAGUGAAGAGAGCCAAGGGAUGGACUUCAUGUCAUUUUUUUUCUUUGAGUAAAUAUCACUUUUUGAGGCAAAGGCGGGGAGGGAACAUCAGAUUUUCCUAUUAACGAAACUGUGCACAUAUGUCAGUCACCACUGCUGCGUGACAAAUAUACCCAAGAUUUAAACAGCAUAGUACAACUUU